CCUGUCCCUAGAGGUAUUGCUGGUGGGGCUUCUGUGUCACAUAUAUGUCAGUAGGUAACAGAGAGGAGAGAGGUUUUGUCUACUAUGCUCAGUGUUCUGAUUUAUGACAUACAUCAGAAUGAUUAGCAAUGAAACAAU